UCUGUGCAUUAAAUUUAGAACCCGAAACAUUUCAACCUGUCAUUUCGGUUUUCUUUUCUUUCAUGGUAUUUUGUUUUCAUUGGUAAAAUUAAAACAUCCGCAAUCAACCACCUAUUCGAUUUAUUUGGUGCUUGAAAAUGAAGAAAAUUGAGGACCGCAUCAGCAACAUGACCGUGACCCGAAUAGGAACAACUGUGUCGAUGCACUGCGAAGGUCACAUGGUCAGUAUUCUAGGUGACGUUAAACCGGAGGAAAUUAUCCAGUUGGACAUCAUCCAGCGCAGCAUAACUCCACACCUGCCGUCAUUAAAAUUUAAAAGCAUCGAAGUGACUACCGAGGACAGUUUUCAUUUUUAACAACUGUGGACUUCUAUUUAUUUGCUAUUGUGGAACUUGCUACGGAAUGACAACACCGAAUUCAAUGUAAGAUUUGAUUCAAAAGGUAGAAUUGCGAUUGUGCCCCGAUUUUGCAAAUAUGCCGAAAAAUUUUAUUUUUAUUUUUGUGAUAUUUUUAAAUUUAAAAUAAAAUGAAAAAUUAUCAAAUAUUUUACAAUUUGAAUUUAAAUUAAUCCUGAAGUGCAACCACCAAUUUAAAUUUCGUUCCGUCUACCACUACCAGAUGUCACUGUCGUAGAUAUUUCUCAAAUUUUUAAUACCCGAGAUAUUUCUCGACGAGAAAUAUUUCAGUUUUUACACGCCGAGAAAUAACUCAGUGAGUGGGCACGGUGAAGCGGGAAAAUACAUGAAAAAUAAUAAUUUUAUAUUUUUUUAUUGUAUACACUCAGAAAUGAAAAAAAUAUGAAAAUUAUUAUAUUUUAAUAACUCCGAUAUUUCUCUGACAUUAAUAUCCAGAAAUAUUAAAAAAUAACUAUUUUAGAUAUUUAAAUUUAUGCAUUCGAAUAAUUUCUUGGCGUGUAAUGCACGCUAACUUUUGGCUACCCCUAAAAGGCGUAAAAUUGACCCGUUAUUGGGAACCACCAUUAUCUGUCAAAUAAAGGGUCAGUAUAACGGAUCAAUAUUACCCUUUAUUCCGAACUAGUAGCGAACGCUUCAAAAAGGGUAACUUUGGAACUUGUCAUUUGAUACGUUACUUUUUCCAUCGAACUGUUUUUGCAGAAAGAUUGUGGUUAGAUUUUUUUGUAUAACAAAUUCAUAUUUUUUGAAUAUUUUGCUUAUUUCAUUUUCAUUCCAAGCAUAACAUCAGCACGCCGUAAUGGAGGACCGGUCAAACUCAAAUAAAAAUAAAGAGGAUUCAACCAGAAUUGACGUGGUUAAAGAAGUUUUUGGGACAUUAAACACGAUGGAGGAACCGCAGUAUCGGCCUAAAAAGCCCCUGGAAAACAUCAACAUACACACCACCCAACACAAAAAAACAAUCCGGUGCCAACAAAUUGUUCAUAGGAAAAAUUGACUGUCGUCAAGAUUCAUUAGAAUUAGAGUCUUCAAUUAUCGGCAUUUGAAUAAACAAAAUAAAAUAUUCAUUUGGUUUGAUUUUUUCCCUGCAAUAGAAAUUGCUUUUAGC